UGAGGAAUAUUGGUCAAUGGGCGCAAGCCUGAACCAGCCAAGUCGCGUGAGGGAAGACGGUCCUAUGGAUUGUAAACCUCUUUUGUCGGGGAGCAAGGAGGCCACGUGUGGUCGAGUGAGAGUACCCGAAGAAAAAGCAUCGGCUAACUCCGUGCCAGCAGCCGCGGUAAUACGGAGGAUGCGAGCGUUAUCCGGAUUUAUUGGGUUUAAAGGGUGCGUAGGCGGACUUUUAAGUCAGCGGUCAAAUCGUGAGGCUCAACCUCAUCCUGCCGUUGAAACUGGGAGUCUUGAGUGAGCGAGAAGUAUGCGGAAUGCGUGGUGUAGCGGUGAAAUGCAUAGAUAUCACGCAGAACUCCGAUUGCGAAGGCAGCAUACCGGCGCUCAACUGACGCUGAGGCACGAAAGCGUGGGGAUCAAACAGG
rnacentral:rRNA from 1 species